AACGAACGCUGGCGGCAUGCCUAACACAUGCAAGUCGAACGAGACCUUCGGGUCUAGUGGCGCAUGGGUGCGUAACGCGUGGGAACCUGCCCUUAGGUUCGGAAUAACUCCCCGAAAGGGGUGCUAAUACCGGAUAAUGUCUUCGGUCCAAAGAUUUAUCGCCUUUGGAUGGGCCCGCGUUGGAUAAUGAAGUUGGUAGGGUAAAAGCCUACCAAGGCGAAGAUCCAUAACUGGUCUGGGAGGAUGAUCAGCCACACGGGGACUGAGACACGGCCCAGACUACUACGGAAGAAAGGAAUGGAGAAUAAUGUAAAAAGAAAGAAAGUCUGAACCAGCAAGGCAACGUAAGGGAUGAAAGACGUAGGAUUGUAAAGGUAUAUUACCCAGGACGAUAAUGACGGUACCGGGAGAAGAAGCACAGGCUAAAUCCGUG
rnacentral:rRNA from 1 species